CCAUCCCUGAUUAAAGUGGCGUACGGGUGAGUAACACGUGGGUAAUCUACCUUUUGGUGGGGAAUAACCCUGGGAAACCGGGGCUAAUACCGCAUAACAUUGAAAGGUGAAAGGCGCAAGUCGCCUGAAGAGGAGCCCGCGGCUGAUUAGCUAGUUGGUGGGGUAAAGGCUCACCAAGGCAAUGAUCGGUAGCCGGCCUGAGAGGGCACACGGCCACACUGGCACUGAAACACGGGCCAGAUUCCUACGGGAGGCAGCAGUGGGGAAUCUUGCACAAUGGGGGAAACCCUGAUGCAGCGACGCCGCGUGAGUGAUGACGCCCUUCGGGGUGUAAAGCUCUUUCGGCAGGGACGAUAAUGACGGUACCUGAAGAAGA
rnacentral:rRNA from 1 species